GAAGGCUGAGGUGUGCGCCUUUUUUUUUUUUCCUUCUUAGUCGUGUGUACAUCAUUGGGAAUGGAGGGAAAUAAAUGACUGGAUGGUCGCUGCUUUUUAAGUUUCAAAUUGACAUUCCAGACAAGCGGUGCCUGAGCCCGUGCCUGUCUUCAGAUCUUCACAGCACAGUUCCUGGGAAGGUGGAGCCACCAGCCUCUCCCUGAAUAACUGGGAGAUGAAACAGGAAGCUCUAUGACACACUUGAUCGAAUAUGACAGACACUGAAAAUCACGACUCAUCCCCCUCCAGCACCUCUACCUGUUGCCCGCCGAUCACAGCCGGAAUGCAGCUGAAAGAUUCCCUGGGGCCUGGUUCCAACUGCCCACUGUGGACUCUGAGGCCUCUGCAUUUGCGGGUGGUCUGCCUGUGAUAUUUUGGUCAUGGGCUGGUCUGGUCGGUUUCCCAUUUGUCUGGCCAGUCUCUGUGUGUCUUAAUCCCUUGUCCUUCAUUAAAAGCAAAACUAAAGAAAACAGAA
rnacentral:lncRNA from 1 species